UUGGGCCUACGGGAGGCAGCAGUAGGGAAUCUUCGGCAAUGGACGAAAGUCUGACCGAGCAACGCCGCGUGAGUGAAGAAGGUUUUCGGAUCGUAAAACUCUGUUGGUAGAGAAGAACGUUGGUGAGUGGAAAGCUCAUCAAGUGACGGUAACUACCCAGCAAGGGACGGCUAACUACGUGCCGGCAGCCGCGGUAAUAUGUAGGUCCCGAGCGUUGUCCGGAUUUAUUGGGCGUAAAGCGAGCGCAGGUGGUUUAUUA
rnacentral:rRNA from 1 species